rnacentral:rRNA from 1 species
UUCCGGAUGAGUUGCGAACGGGUGAGUAACGCGUAGGUAACCUGCCUGGUAGCGGGGGAUAACUAUUGGAAACGAUAGCUAAUACCGCAUGACAACAGUUAUUGCAUGAUAGCUGUUUAAAAGGGGCAACUGCUCCACUACCAGAUGGACCUGCGUUGUAUUAGCUAGUUGGUGAGGUAACGGCUCACCGAGGCGACGAUACAUAGCCGACCUGAGAGGGUGAUCGGCCACACUGGGACUGAGACACGGCCCAGACUCCUACGGGAGGCAGCAGUAGGGAAUCUUCGGCAAUGGACGGAAGUCUGACCGAGCAACGCCGCGUGAGUGAAGAAGGUUUUCGGAUCGUAAAGCUCUGUUGUAAGAGAAGAACGAGUGUGAGAGUGGAAAGUUCACACUGUGACGGUAUCUUACCAGAAAGGGACGGCUAACUACGUGCCAGCAGCCGCGGUAAUACGUAGGUCCCGAGCGUUGUCCGGAUUUAUUGGGCGUAAAGCGAGCGCAGGCGGUUAGAUAAGUCUGAAGUUAAAGGCUGUGGCUUAACCAUAGUACGCUUUGGAAACUGUUUAACUUGAGUGCAAGAGGGGAGAGUGGAAUUCCAUGUGUAGCGGUUAAAUGCGUAGAUAUAUGGAGGAACACCGGUGGCGAAAGCGGCUCUCUGGCUUGUAA